rnacentral:tRNA from 1 species
AGGAGUAUAGUUCAGUGGUAGAACGUUGGUCUCCAAAACCAAAUGUCGUGGGUUCAAAUCCUACUACUCCUGCCA